rnacentral:lncRNA from 1 species
AGAGAUAGCUCGACCCAAAUCUUAGAGAACUAAGUAUCCUUCCUUUGCAGUAGUUGGAAGCAUCGAUCAUCAUGAAAUCAUCAAAGUGGUUGGAAAGGUUGUGAUCAGCCUGAUCUGGGCGUGCGGUACGUCCCAAACGGGCCAGGAAAGAUAGGCUAAGUCCGAAAUCUGAUUCUUCUCGAUGAUCAUGGGUUCUGGCUUGACUGUUGGCUCUAGAAUGGCGAAUGGGUCGGGGAAGAACGCCUGUGGUUUGGCUGAUUCGAUCAUCAGGUCGUGGAUCCAUCCUUAGGUCAUGUCCGGGUGCACGCGGGUCGAUCCGGUACACGGCUCUGUCCGUUGAUCUGGUACGGUUGAAUGGCUGAACCUCAGUUGGACUGAUCUGAUCGUCC